GAUGAAGAACGCAGCGAAAUGCGAUAAGUAAUGUGAAUUGCAGAAUUCAGUGAAUCAUCGAAUCUAUGAACGCACAUUGCGCCCGCCAGUAUUCUGGCGGGCAUGCCUGUUCGAGCGUCAUUUCAACCCUCAAGCCCAGCUUGGUGUUGGGGAUCGGCACAGGCGCCCUCGGGCGCCCGCCGUCCCCUAAAUCUAGUGGCGGUCCCGCUGCAGCCUCCUCUGCGUAGUAGUUUUCUCCUCGCAAGGGCAGCUCGGUGGCGACCUCGCCGUAAAACCCCCAACUUCUGAAAGGUUGACCUCGAAUCAGGUAGGAAUACCCGCUGAACUUAAGCAUAUCAAUAAGCGGAGGA
rnacentral:misc_RNA from 1 species